GAUGAACGCUAGCGAUAGGCUUAACACAUGCAAGUCGAGGGGUAACGUGUUGGAAGCUUGCUUCCGAUGACGACGACCGGCGGAUGGGUGCGUAACGCGUAUGCAACUUGCCUCACAGUGGAGAAUAACCCGGAGAAAUCCGGACUAAUACUCCAUACACUCUUAAGUACGCCUGUACAUGAGAGGAAAGAUUUAUCGCUGUGAGAUAGGCAUGCGUCCUAUUAGGUAGUUGGUGAGGUAACGGCUCACCAAGCCGACGAUAGGUAGGGGUGCUGAGAGGCAGAUCCCCCACAUUGGGACUGAGACACGGCCCAAACUCCUACGGGAGGCAGCAGUGAGGAAGAUUGGUCAAUGGAGGAAACUCUGAACCAGCCAAGUCGCGUGAAGGAAGAAUGUCCUAAGGAUUGUAAACUUCUUUAGCGAGCGAGUAAGGACUUCCACGUGAUGGGAGUUUGAAAGUAGCUCGAGAAUAAGUAUCGGCUAACUCCGUG
rnacentral:rRNA from 1 species